rnacentral:rRNA from 1 species
AGCGAACGCUGGCGGCAGGCCUAACACAUGCAAGUCGAACGAACCUUUCGGGGUUAGUGGCGGACGGGUGAGUAACACGUUGGAACUUGCCUUUAGGUUCGGAAUAACUCAGGGAAACUUGUGCUAAUACCGAAUGUGCCCUUCGGGGGAAAGAUUAAUCGCCUUUAGAGCGGCCCGCGUCUGAUUAGCUAGUUGGUUGAGGUAAUGGCUCACCAAGGCGACGAUCAGUAGCUGGUCUGAGAGGAUGAUCAGCCACAUUGGGACUGAGACACGGCCCAAACUCCUACGGGAGGCAGCAGUGGGGAAUCUUGCGCAAUGGGCGAAAGCCUGACGCAGCCAUGCCGCGUGAAUGAUGAAGGUCUUAGGAUUGUAAAAUUCUUUCACCGGGGACGAUAAUGACGGUACCCGGAGAAGAAGCCCCGGCUAACUUCGUG